rnacentral:rRNA from 1 species
UGGGAUUAGCUAGUAGGUGGGGUAAAGGCUCACCUAGGCGACGAUCCCUAGCUGGUCUGAGAGGAUGACCAGCCACACUGGAACUGAGACACGGUCCAGACUCCUACGGGAGGCAGCAGUGGGGAAUAUUGCACAAUGGGCGCAAGCCUGAUGCAGCCAUGCCGCGUGUAUGAAGAAGGCCUUCGGGUUGUAAAGUACUUUCAGCGGGGAGGAAGGGAGUAAAGUUAAUACCUUUGCUCAUUGACGUUACCCGCAGAAGAAGCACCGGCUAACUCCGUGCCAGCAGCCGCGGUAAUACGGAGGGUGCAAGCGUUAAUCGGAAUUACUGGGCGUAAAGCGCACGCAGGCGGUUUGUUAAGUCAGAUGUGAAAUCCCCGGGCUCAACCUGGGAACUGCAUCUGAUACUGGCAAGCUUGAGUCUCGUAGAGGGGGGUAGAAUUCCAGGUGUAGCGGUGAAAUGCGUAGAGAUCUGGAGGAAUACCGGUGGCGAAGGCGGCCCCCUGGACGAAGACUGACGCUCAGGUGCGAAAGCGUGGG